UAUUAUUGCCAAUCUUUAUUAGUGGGAUGUUGUUUAAAAAUACAGGAUAUGCACAUACUGAUAAGGUCAUCUGUGUUAGAGAAGAUGCACCAAUGUUCAAGGACAUGUGUGUGUGUGUGUGUGCGAGUUUGCAAAAACAUUUAUACGCUUUAUACGCUUAUCAAAACAGAUGGAUGAGCUGUCGAGAGUCUUUGUUUUGGAGGGGUAUAAAAUAGUGUGUCAAGAUGUGGUCGGGGAGUGGCUUGGAAAACCGCCUGGGCUCUUGUUACUACUGUAAUAAAAGUUUCAUUUCUUUUUGCCAACAAAAACAUCGAGACUCAGACGUUUUGAUUUUUGCUGAAGAUGAUACCACAACACAUGGUCACGGGGGAACAUGGAGCCUAUCCCAGGGAGCAUGGGGAACAAGGCGGGGUACACCCUGGACAAGGUGCCAGUCCAUCGCAGGGCACACAAUCACAUACACAUUCACACACUACGGACACUUUGGACAUACCAAUCAGUCUACCAUGCAUGUCUUUGAACUGGGGGAAGAAACCGGAGUACCCAGAGGAAACCCCCCACAGCACGGGGAGAACAUGCAAAGUCCGCACACACAGGGAAUCGAACCCCCAACCCUGGCGGUGUGAGGCGAACGUGCUAAACACUAAGCCACCAUGCGCCCGGAGACAAAGACAUUUUAAUUUAAAUUCAGAAUUGUAAUGCAGAUUAUUGACUACCAUUUUUUCUGUACAAAUUACCAACCUUUAAAAAAUAUUUAAAGAUACUCUUCUCUAACCAAUUAACUCAUAUGGUUGAGUAUAUUAGCUUCCUAAAGUUAAAACAGGCUAUAUAUGGAAUAUAUUUACAGUGCCUUACAUACAGUAAGUAUUCACCCCUCUUGAAUUUUAAUCUUAAUUGGGAUAACAGGUCAAGAAUCUACACAAAGUUCAUAAUACUGAAGUAGGGGAAAUCCUUUAAGUUAAAAAAUAAAGUUAGGAUUUCAUAAGUAUGCUGUGAAAUUUUCAACCUUUAACGUCCAUUAGAUCACCAUUAAAUCUAUAAUUAAAAAAAGGAAAUAAGUCUAACUUAUCAUAGGUCUAAGGUCAUUUCUCUCAGGGUUAUUUGAUUAAAAAAGGAUUAAAUAAGGGGGGAAAAGAGCAAUCUGGCAGCUCUGAGUCAAGUGUGUAUGUGUGGGAGGACUGUGGGUGAAAUGCCUGUGUGUAUUUGGAGUGGCUCUGCAAGGUCACACACUCUGUAUUCAGCUGGAUUGUAUUCACCAUGUCUCUCUCCCUCUCUCAACCCCCCUCUCACACACUCCCAGACAUAUGAGGAAUAAAAUCCUGCUUCAGGAGUACAAUGCUGUCCCCAACAGCUGCUAGUUGUGAAUGAACUGAAUGAGUUAAUAUAUUCGACACGGCUUUAAUGUCUAAAGUGCUGAAAUUUCAUCAUUAAAGUAAUUCUUACAAUGUGUACUUUGUGUACCUUUGUGUCUAGUUUCUUUUUUUCUUUUGUAUUUUUUUUUAUUUUUUUUUAAAGCAAUGGUUAAGUGGUUGCAUUUCAUUCAGUGUGAAUUACACCACAGGGAAAUGUAUGAAUGCUAAGCUCACCCCUAAACCCUAACUUUUGUCAAUUCUCCAAUGAGUCUGGAGAACUGUUGUAAAUUCACAAGUGUAAGACUUGGAAUCACCCACACCCACACAUUGCCCUUGGAAUCACACACACACACACACACACACACACACACACACACACACACACACACACACACACAAAGCUCCUUGUGUCUGAAAAUGUGGAAAAAUAUCAUGAGAUGGUGCAAGGCCACUGAAAACAAAAGAACAAAUCUGACCUUCACCCAGGGUUGAAUGUAUUUCUCAGAAAAGAGACAGGAGACUGUGAGAGAGAGGGAGAGAGAGAUUGAGAGAGAGAGAGAGAGAGAGAGAGAGA